rnacentral:rRNA from 1 species
GAACCGUACGAACGUUAUUCGGAAUCACUGGGCUUAAAGAGUGCGUAGGCGGCCCGGGUAAGUUGGGGUGUGAAAUCCCUCGGGCUCAACCGAGGAACUGCGCCCAAAACUGCCGGACUUGAGGGAGACAGAGGUGAGCGGAACUAAUGGUGGAGCGGUGAAAUGCGUUGAUAUCAUUAGGAACACCAGAAGCGAAGGCGGCUCACUGGGUCUCUUCUGACGCUGAGGCACGAAAGCUAGGGGAGCGAACGGGAUUAGAUACCCCGGUAGUCCUAGCUGUAAACGAUGAGCACUGGGUUGGAGACCCUUCCACAGGUUUCCAGCCGAAGCGAAAGUGUUAAGUGCUCCGCCUGGGGAGUAUGGUCGCAAAGGCUG